UGCAGUCGACGGACCCUUCGGGGUUAGUGGCGGACGGGUGAGUAACACGUGGGAACGUGCCUUUAGGUUCGGAAUAGCUCCUGGAAACGGGUGGUAAUGCCGAAUGUGCCCUUCGGGGGAAAGAUUUAUCGCCUUUAGAGCGGCCCGCGUCUGAUUAGCUAGUUGGUGAGGUAAUGGCUCACCAAGGCGACGAUCAGUAGCUGGUCUGAGAGGAUGACCAGCCACACUGGGACUGAGACACGGCCCAGACUCCUACGGGAGGCAGCAGUGGGGAAUCUUGCGCAAUGGGCGAAAGCCUGACGCAGCCAUGCCGCGUGAAUGAUGAAGGUCUUAGGAUUGUAAAAUUCUUUCACCGGGGACGAUAAUGACGGUACCCGGAGAAGAAGCCCCGGCUAACUUCGUGCCAGCAGCCGCGGUAAUACGAAGGGGGCUAGCGUUGCUCGGAAUUACUGGGCGUAAAGGGCGCGUAGGCGGACAUUUAAGUCAGGGGUGAAAUCCCAGAGCUCAACUCUGGAACUGCCUUUGAUACUGGGUGUCUUGAGUGUGAGAGAGGUAUGUGGAACUCCGAGUGUAGAGGUGAAAUUCGUAGAUAUUCGGAAGAACACCAGUGGCGAAGGCGACAUACUGGCUCAUUACUGACGCUGAGGCGC
rnacentral:rRNA from 1 species